CCUACGGGGUGCAGCAGUGAGGAAUAUUGGUCAAUGGGCGCGAGCCUGAACCAGCCAAGUAGCGUGAAGGAUGACUGCCCUACGGGUUGUAAACUUCUUUUAUAAAGGAAUAAAGUGAGGCACGUGUGCCUUUUGUAUGUACUUUAUGAAUAAGGCUCGGCUAACUCCGUGCCAGCAGCCGCGGUAAGACGGAGGAUCCGAGCGUUAUCCGGAUUUUUUGGGUUUAAAGGGAGCGUAGAUGGGUUGUUAAGUCAGUUGUGAAAGUUUGCGGCUCAACCGUAAAAUUGCAAUUGAUACUGGCAGCCUUGAGUACAGUUGAGGUAGGCGGAAUUCGUGGUGUAGCGGUGAAAUGCUUAGAUAUCACGAAGAACUCCGAUUGCGAAGGCAGCUUACUAGACUGCCACUGACAUUGAUGCUCGAAAGUGUUGGUAUCAAACAGGAUUAGAUACCCGAGUAGUC
rnacentral:rRNA from 1 species